CUCCAUGAGGCCCAACAGAGGGAAGCCACCAGGCAAGGUUUGAAAGCUCCACUCAUUUCCAGGGUAUUUACAUCAGUAACUCACCUAGCCCUACUUCAUCUGGAACUCUAGCAGAAUGUUGAACAAAAGAGAUUAAAGUCAAGUUGGAAUAUCCUGAGAGUGCUAUGAAAGCACAGAAGAGCUUGCUUCCGUUGCCAGCAUCCUGUCUUGAUGAAGCAAGGUGUUCUGCAUUGAAAGCAGCCAGAACAUGAUUAUAGAAUAAUUGGCCAUAAGAAACACACUUUGGAUGUUACUGUUGCCCAUCACCUCUAGGACCUGGUUUCAGGAAAGCCAAGCUCAGAACUCCCACUUAUCAUGGAUUAUGAAUGCAAUUUAUUAAGAACUUAAUGGACAGAAGGGAUAAAAGCCUAUCUCGCCCAGUAGCAACACAGGAUUCCUAGACUCUGAGAUAAGAGGAAGAGGCUUGUAUACUACACAAGACAAAGGUAUGUAUGUGGGCUUUGACCAAGACUAUUAACACAUCAGAAGUCAGUUAAGAAACAGUCCAGGCAUCAGAUGCUCAGCUGACUCUUCAGGACUUUACGGGGCAGGGUUCGGAACGCAAGCCAAAGUCACCUGGUGGCCAAGAUGGCGGUUAUCAUCAAGACGCAAAGCCAAGCGGUUCUAAGGUUUCUUUCCUUAAAUACACAGAUACUAUUAUUUACAGAGUUCAUUUUUACAUUAAUGGUGAAAAUUUACUUCACUUGAAAAACGACCUUUAUCAUCAAACAUUGGAAAAAAAUGUAUCUUGUAUGAUGUCAAAUUUAGAUAAACAUAAUGUCAGUAUCGUAUAUCUCCAUAUACAAGAUUUUGUUCUGAGCUUGCAAAAACUACUGGAAGUUGGGAAUUUAUAAUUAAUGUGAAAAACCCAAUGAAACAUAUUUUAUUAUGGUCUGUAAUCUUUUAAGUAAAAAAUAAAUAGGAAGGAAAAUUAUGAACUAUUUAAGCUUCAUUCUCCACUCCGC